rnacentral:rRNA from 1 species
UACGUAGGGUGCGAGCGUUGUCCGGAAUUAUUGGGCGUAAAGAGCUCGUAGGCGGUGUGUCACGUCGGCCGUGAAACCUGCAGCUUAACUGUGGGCGUGCGGUCGAUACGGGCAUCACUGGAGUUCGGCAGGGGAGACUGGAAUUCCUGGUGUAGCGGUGAAAUGCGCAGAUAUCAAGAGGAACACCGGUGGCGAAGGCGGGUCACUGGACCGGUUCUGACGCUGAGGCGCGAAGGCCAGGGGAGCAAACGGGG